CCUACGGGUGGCAGCAGUGAGGAAUAUUGGUCAAUGGGCGCGAGCCUGAACCAGCCAAGUCGCGUGAGGGAAGACGGUCCUAUGGAUUGUAAACUUCUUUUGUCGGGGAGCAAAAGACGCCACGCGUGGCGUUCCGAGAGUACCGGAAGAAAAAGCAUCGGCUAACUCCGUGCCAGCAGCCGCGGUAAUACGGAAGGUGCGGGCGUUAUCCGGAUUUAUUGGGUUUAAAGGGGGCGCAGGCGGUAUGUUAAGUCAGCCGUAAAAUUGAGGGGCUCAACCUUUUCAGGGCGGUGGAACCGGGCUUGCUUGAGUGAGCGGGAAGUAUGCGGAAUUCGGGGUGUAGCGGUGAAAUGCAUAGAUAUCACGAAGAACUCCGAUUGCGAAGGCAGCAUACCGGCGCUCAACUGACGCUGAUGCUCGAAAGUGUGGGUAUCGAACAGGAUUAGAUACCCGUGUAGUC
rnacentral:rRNA from 1 species